rnacentral:rRNA from 1 species
UAACGCGUGGGAAUCUGCCCUGGAGUGGGGGAUAACCGAGGGAAACCUCGGCUAAUACCGCAUACGUCCCGAGGGAGAAAGAUUUAUCGCUCUAGGAGGGGCCCGCGUCGGAUUAGCUAGUUGGUGAGGUAACGGCUCACCAAGGCGACGAUCCGUAGAUGGUCUGAGAGGAUGAUCAGCCCCACUGGGACUGAGACACGGCCCAGACUCCUACGGGAGGCAGCAGUGGGGAAUAUUGGACAAUGGGGGCAACCCUGAUCCAGCAAUGCCGCGUGAGUGAUGAAGGCCUUAGGGUUGU